rnacentral:tRNA from 1 species
UAUCUUAGAUAGUAUAGAACCUGCCUGCAAUACAGGAGACCCAGGUUCAAUCCCUGG